CAGGAGUCCAGAGAAGGUCAACCUCCCAAGAACGGUCCCAGCACACCUUUUUGAGCCAGUGUCCCGAUGUAGGUGAAAAGGCGCCCUUGGGCCCAACAUCUACAGCAGAAAGAAGGAAGCCAUAUUGUACAGUUUGAAGUUACAUAUGGGCCAGGUCCUGGGUUAGAAGAACCCAUUUUCAAAAGAGCUGUGGAGGAGAAGGCAACAAGAGAUGACUUUCUCAAGAAUGCAGAACACAGACCCUCUGGACAGAGAUUUGAGUCUUUCCAGAUUACCAGUUGGCACACUGCACCCACUUGGUUUCAGUGUGGAU